CUUGGGGGGAGGAGGUGGAAGAGGGUGGAUGUGGGGGAAGGUAUUUUUAGUUUGUUUUCUUUGUUUCUCACUUCUCUAGCUGUUAGUAAUAGGUAAUAAUUUUUUCUAAUCUCUUUAUGCUGAGUCUGUUUUACCUGUGACAAUAAUUGUUGAGUCACCUCCCUGUCCUUAUCUCAACCCUUGAGCCCUUUUCAUUGUAUUUUCAUCCCCUUUCCCUUUGAGGAGGUGGAGUGAGAGAGCAGCUUUGGUGGAGUUUGGCUGCCCGCCUGAGUAAAACUGCUACACUGGUGUCCAUAACUAUAGCAGAAAAAAAGACAGAAGAGAAGAAAGAAGGAACUAUUUAGGGGAGGAUGACAGCAUGCAGCACCCUUCAUCACUGGUACUUACUCUUGAAGAACAAGUGUACUGUCUGGAGAGUGAUUAAACAGGUGACUUGGUCGAUUUGGACAAAUUACUGGAGCAAUGAGGGUUCAGCCUUGCUCAACAUCCUGCCCAGAAGAAAAUGCACAGACAUACUUAUGGAUUCAACCUUGCUUUUGACGGUUUG
rnacentral:lncRNA from 1 species